rnacentral:rRNA from 1 species
AACGAACGCUGGCGGCAUGCCUAACACAUGCAAGUCGAACGAGACCUUCGGGUCUAGUGGCGCACGGGUGCGUAACGCGUGGGAACCUGCCCUUAGGUUCGGAAUAACUCCCCGAAAGGGGUGCUAAUACCGGAUAAUGUCUUCGGACCAAAGAUUUAUCGCCUUUGGAUGGGCCCGCGUUGGAUUAGCUAGUUGGUAGGGUAAAAGCCUACCAAGGCUACGAUCCAUAGCUGGUCUGAGAGGAUGAUCAGCCACACUGGGACUGAGACACGGCCCAGACUCCUACGGGAGGCAGCAGUGGGGAAUAUUGGAAAAUGGGCGAAAGCAUGAUCCAGCAAUGCCGCGUGAGUGAUGAAGGCCUUAGGGUUGUAAAGCUCUUUUACCCGGGAUGAUAAUGACAGUACCGGGAGAAUAAGCUCCGGCUAACUCCGUG